ACCUCCUAAGGGUUCCAUAACCUUUCCAACAGCGCCAUCAGGCGGACAUCAAAUGAUCGAACAUGGGAUCACACGCUAGGUAUUUUUCCGUUCAAAGCCCUACAACGAACGACCUGAUAAUCAAGCUGUCCCAUACCAGCAAACUGUUUUAAAGGCCAGGAGACUGAAGCACAAAGAUAUCAUGGAGGUUGUCUGCGGUCACACAGCAGGGACAGGAGCCAGAAUGCCCUGCCAGGCUGUAUAGCUGGGCAGUGGUGUGCUUACCACCUCAGGCCCUUCCUUUCCUCACUGAGUAACAGGAAUAAAAGCCCAAAGAUAAGCUACAGACUCCAAGGACACAGCUCAGGUCCAGGCUGGUGACAUCUCUCUGCGAAGAGGGCCGCUGGCAGGCUCAGCCUCACCUACACAGCUUUGCUGCUCAGCCAGCAAAGGAGCAUAGGUACAAACGAGUGGGCAAGGCCACUAAAACCUUAUUUACAAAAAUAGCCAGAGGCUGUGGUCAGCCAACCUGAACAAGGAAAAUGGUUGCUUGUGAACAGAAUUCCGGAUGGCCAUGAAUGAAGGCACAGUACCUAGCUAUUUAUGAAAAUACUUGAUGUUCAGAGCCUUCCAGAAAGACUGGGACCUGAGACUGGUACCCAGAAUUCAUGUAAAAUGGAAGGAUUGAAUCAACUCCAAAAGGUAAUCUCUGACCUCCAUACCAUGCCACCACAUACUCCACCACAAAGCACACAAAAUAAAAUAGGAUUUCAGGGGUUGGAGGAGGAUUUGCUUAUAAUUUUAACCUAGCAAAUAAUUAAAAGGAAAAAAAUCAGCAACUAUCAAAAGGAUUUUAAAAAAAAAAAGAAAUUCAAGCAAAUUGAGGAGGGAAAUAGCUCAGAUUGAACAAAGGCAAGAAAGGCUGAAGAAGUAUCAGAAACACAAUUAUAGUAGACAAAAGACAGAUUCUGGAGAUACAGGGAAUGCAAAUCAGAAAAAUCCUCCCAGUAAAAGACAAACUCAAAUCCCAGCCUUGCAUGGCUGCAGAAGAAACAGCGGAGUGGUACACAGAAUGCUUCGGAUAAAAAAAGAAUGGAAGUACUUGUAUUCAAUUCUCUGGACCCAGCCGGAAGGUAGUGGCACACGCCUUUAAUCCUGGCACAGAGGCAGGUGGAUCUCUGUGUUGGAGGCCAGCCUGGUCUAUAGAGUGAGUUCCAGGACAGUCAGGGCUGUACAGAAAAACUCUUGUCUUGAAAAAAAACCAAGCCAAACCAAACCUAACCAAACAAAAAUCACAACAACAACAACAAUAAUAACAACAACAAUAAUUUUCUGGACCCAUGUGGUAGCAGGAAAAACUGACCCUACAAAUUGUUCUCUGACCUUUGUGUGUCUGUGUGUCUGUCAUGACAUGCUCCGCCUCAAAUAAAUAUAACAGAAAAAUUGCAAAUAAAUUGGUUUUAUUUUUAUGUA